GUAAAAUAGCGGACUGAACUUUCUUUCUUUUACGGAAAGAAUUCUAGAGGUCGCGGAUUCGAAUUCCGCUCUGCCUACCA
rnacentral:tRNA from 1 species